UACAUAUCGAAUAUUUUCUUCCAUGGACAGAUUUCAGUCUAGCUGUCAAAUAUUUAUCUUUAAAGAAAAUUCUCAAAAACACACAUUUCAUUUUCUUCCAUGAAUUUCUUCUGAAUUCCUUGUUCUACCAUAGGGACUGCCGACUGUACCUUGAGAGACUUUUGCGACCACCAAGCACGAGUACCAGCGAAACGGAAGCCGAGCUUAGCGCGAAAUUUAAUUUAAGUUGCAGGGCUCCCGAGAAGGUUUUUGCAACUCAUAAAUGACGAGGCAAUGCCACACCCCUCCCACCCCCCAGGCCAACUGUUCUCCUGACUGCCCCGCUGAUGGACUGACGUACUGACUGACAGGCCACCCACACAGAGCACCCGGCUCCCGGAACGCGUCUCUCUCUUUGGACUUGCAACUAAUUACAAAAAGUAAUUAUUGCUGAACUCUGGUUAAUGCUGCAACGGCGCCACAAAGAGCGGGAGACCGUGGACAGGGGGCAACGGCAACAUCAGCGAGUGGCAUGGUGAUUUCUGCAAUGGCCGCGUGAAAUCAAUAAAUUAAAUAUGCAAACUGGAUAUCGAUUUGCGGAGGAAGGAACAGAAGAAGAAGGAUCCGGUGGCGGUGGCGGUGGCGGCGGUGGUGGUGUUGGUGGUGCAAUCCUAGAUUAACGAGCCUCAUGGGCGUGGCAAAGUGUGCGGAAGCCAGGCAGCAGCAGCAAACGCAGUCAGAGGGAAGGAAGGAAGGAAUAGCAUAGGCAGAGGGACCCGGACUCUGGCCGGCACUCAACAUCAUUUACAAGUCAAUAAAAUCAAUUUGGGCAACCGAAGAACAAACAAACUGCCGACAGGGCAGCAUUGCCGACACACAAUGAAGGAUACUCGUAUCAGCAUUAGGGCCAACACAUGCCCCGCCACUGACCCAAGGCCCAAGACCCCAGGCCGCAGACCAAUUAUAAUUCUAACGAUAGUCCCCCGGAACAGAAGGCCAGAAGCCGGCCUCUAAUUAAUCAAUUAUAUAAAAACAGAACUAAUGCGAUGAUCGGAAAAGAAAUGAGAGGGAAGGAGAAACAGAGAGUACAAGAAAAGGAAACCCACACACGGGAACACCUAAAGGGAUGAUCGAGGAUUCUGUUUCCCCCAACAUCGACAUCUGCUUGUGGCCGCCUGAAAGAUAACACCGGACCGCACACUGAACAAUCAUUCUGGGACCUAACCCGUUCGUAGUCGCGGUUCAAAGGGAGAUAAACCGAAGACGAUGACGUAGAAGCGAUGACUGUAUUACGAUGACUGCGAUGAAGAUAGGAAUCAGCUAGCUUUAAGGGGUAUAUGAAAGUUGAAUGAUUCCAUAUUUGCCACCUUACUGGUAGAAACUCUGUCUCACUCUCUCUCUUUGAAAGGAUUAUCGUAGCUAGAUUAGAUUGAAAAUAGCUCAAUUAUAACCUACACUAUAGAAUUUAAAGAAAUAAUUAAUUUUGGUUGUGAAAUAAAAUAUCAAUGAACAUA
rnacentral:sRNA from 1 species